rnacentral:rRNA from 1 species
GGUUAAGCGACUAAGCGUACACGGUGGAUGCCCUGGCAGUCAGAGGCGAUGAAGGACGUGCUAAUCUGCGAUAAGCGCCGGUAAGGUGAUAUGAACCGUUAUAACCGGCGAUUUCCGAAUGGGGAAACCCAGUGUGACUCGUCACACUAUCAUUAACUGAAUCCAUAGGUUAAUGAGGCGAACCGGGGGAACUGAAACAUCUAAGUACCCCGAGGAAAAGAAAUCAACCGAGAUUCCCCCAGUAGCGGCGAGCGAACGGGGAGGAGCCCAGAGCCUGAAUCAGCAUGUGUGUUAGUGGAAGCGUCUGGAAAGGCGCGCGAUACAGGGUGACAGCCCCGUACACAAAAGCGCAUAUGCUGUGAGCUCGAUGAGUAGGGCGGGACACGUGGUAUCCUGUCUGAAUAUGGGGGGACCAUCCUCCAAGGCUAAAUACUCCUGACUGACCGAUAGUGAACCAGUACCGUGAGGGAAAGGCGAAAAGAACCCCGGCGAGGGGAGUGAAAAAGAACCUGAAACCGUGUACGUACAAGCAGUGGGAGCACCCUUUGGGGUGUGACUGCGUACCUUUUGUAUAAUGGGUCAGCGACUUAUAUUCUGUAGCAAGGUUAACCGAAUAGGGGAGCCGGAGGGAAACCGAGUCUUAAC